UGACCCUGCUACAUUCCUUUGAACAAGUAAUAACUGCUUAGUCAUAUCUCCUAGCUUAAACUAAAUAAGGAAAGCCAUUCCUUCUCCCUCUGUCUCUUCCUGAUUUUAUUUCAGUUUUGUUUGUUUGAUACCUUCAUAGUGACUGUUGCGGUGGCGGUAAUGCACCAAAAAGUUGUUUGCCAACCGCCAAUAAACCUUAAUAGAAGAAGAAGACAUCAAGAAGAUCGAGGCAGACGGACUGCACGCUGUUAAAACUUCACCGAGAUCGGUGUUGGACCGGCGAACACUUAGGCCUAUUAUCAGAGGACUUGCUAACAUGAAGAAAACGGUCCAGAGCUUCCACCUGAGAGCCGGGACUGUUGAAUAGUAAGAGACAACGAAAAGGGGGGAACUGUCUUUAAGCUGUGGAGUCAGAUGGAGGGCUCGCAUUUACCUCAAAAACAGCAUUGCAGAAGACUCGAACAACUAGAACCAACUCAAGCACACAAUGGUGACACACAUUUGUAAGAC